AUCGUUUCAGGCCUCAGAAACGAACCUCUUGCCAAAUGACAUAGAUGUACAAAACACCCACUCAGGCCCGUUGAAAAGCCCACCCCAUUGGUAUUCACCAGGAAUAGCACAUGUCCUUUCACUGGGCUGGGACAUUGUUGGUCUAGCCUGGUCUUUCAGCUGGUAAUAAAUCAACUCCACUGACUCCGAGACAACUGCUCCUAUUUACCUCAACCAUGAGCCUGUCCCCAGCGCCGAAACGUCGAUCUGAUGAUUACCAGCUAGACUUGUUCCGACAAAUUAACAUGAAAAAAAGAGAAACAAUGAAAAAGCAACUCCUUGAAUGUAACACUUAGGAGAUGUGUACCUACUGGAAUACCAAAAAUGCAGGAACUCGGGAAAUGAGAGAGCAUCUAAACAGUAUCAGAAGUUGAAGUUUUUCCCUGAGACAUCAUGUUCUUUUGUCAGCACGUUGCCCAGUUAACACACAAUGAUCAAAGAUCUGCAAUUCUAGUGUCACAUUUAAUACCUAUAUAUUUUAAUUGUCACUUACAUUGCAAAUGU
rnacentral:lncRNA from 1 species